AACACGAUUAUGAUUCCCAAAUGAAGAAGUGACCAUUCAACUGGUAAUGGGACAGAACUAUCGAUAAUGAAUCAAGGAUGUGCACAGUAGCCAAGUACAGUCAGAGAUAACAAUAAGUAUAUGAAGGAAUCAAGUUGAGUCAUCCGGGGUGGAUCAGGUUGUUAUUACUCCAAACUAAAGUUGCAUCAUCCGAAUUUAUUCACAGUACCAAAACAGCUACUGUUUCUAAUUGCCG
rnacentral:lncRNA from 1 species